GACGAACGUUGGCGGCGUGCUUAACACAUGCAAGUCGAACGGAAAGGCCCUGCUUUUGUGGGGUGCUCGAGUGGCGAACGGGUGAGUAACACGUGAGUAACCUGCCCUUGACUUUGGGAUAACUUCAGGAAACUGGGGCUAAUACCGGAUAGGAGCUCCUGCUGCAUGGUGGGGGUUGGAAAGUUUCGGCGGUUGGGGAUGGACUCGCGGCUUAUCAGCUUGUUGGUGGGGUAGUGGCUUACCAAGGCUUUGACGGGUAGCCGGCCUGAGAGGGUGACCGGCCACAUUGGGACUGAGAUACGGCCCAGACUCCUACGGGAGGCAGCAGUGGGGAAUAUUGCACAAUGGGCGGAAGCCUGAUGCAGCAACGCCGCGUGCGGGAUGACGGCCUUCGGGUUGUAAACCGCUUUCGCCUGUGACGAAGCGUGAGUGACGGUAAUGGGUAAAGAAGCACCGGCUAACUACGUGCCAGCAGCCGCGGUGAUACGUAGGGUGCGAGCGUUGUCCGGAUUUAUUGGGCGUAAAGGGCUCGUAGGUGGUUGAUCGCGUCGGAAGUGUAAUCUUGGGGCUUAACCCUGAGCGUGCUUUCGAUACGGGUUGACUUGAGGAAGGUAGGGGAGAAUGGAAUUCCUGGUGGAGCGGUGGAAAUGCGCAGAUUUCAGGAGGAACACCAGUGGCGAAGGCGGUUCUCUGGGCCUUUCCUGACGCUGAGGAGCGAAAGCGUGGGGAGCGAACAGGCUUAGAUACCCUGGUAGUCCACGCUGUAAACGGUGGGUACUAGGUGUGGGGUCCAUUCCACGGGUUCCGCGCCGUAGCUAACGCUUUAAGUACCCCGCCUGGGGAGUACGGCCGCAAGGCUAAAACUCAAAGGAAUUGACGGGGCCCCGCACAAGCGGCGGAGCAUGCGGAUUAAUUCGAUGCAACGCGUAGAACCUUACCUGGGUUUGACAUGGAUCGGGAGUGCUCAGAGAUGGGUGUGCCUCUUUUGGGGUCGGUUCACAGGUGGUGCAUGGCUGUCGUCAGCUCGUGUCGUGAGAUGUUGGGUUAAGUCCCGCAACGAGCGCAACCCUUGUUCACUGUUGCCAGCACGUUAUGGUGGGGACUCAGUGGAGACCGCCGGGGUCAACUCGGAGGAAGGUGGGGAUGACGUCAAGUCAUCAUGCCCCUUAUGUCCAGGGCUUCACGCAUGCUACAAUGGCUGGUACAGAGAGUGGCGAGCCUGUGAGGGUGAGCGAAUCUCGGAAAGCCGGUCUCAGCUCGGAUUGGGGUCUGCAACUCGACCUCAUGAAGUCGGAGUCGCUAGUAAUCGCAGAUCAGCAACGCUGCGGUGAAUACGUUCCCGGGGCU
rnacentral:rRNA from 1 species